CCUACGGGAGGCAGCAGUGGGGAAUAUUGCACAAUGGGGGAAACCCUGAUGCAGCGACGCCGCGUGAGUGAAGAAGUACUUCGUUAUGUAAAGCUCUAUCAGCAGGGAAGAAAAUUACGGUACCUGAGUAAUACGCCCCGGCUAACUCCGUGCCAGCAGCCGCGGUAAUACGUAGGGGGCAAGCGUUAUCCGGAUUUACUGGGUGUAACGGGAGCGUAGACGGCAGUGCAAGUCUGGAGUGAAAGGCGGGGGGUCAACCCCCGGACUGCUCUGGAAACUGUACGGCUGGAGUGCAGGAGAGGUAAGUGGAAUUCCUAGUGUAGCGGUGAAAUGCGUAGAUAUUAGGAGGAACACCAGUGGCGAAGGCGGCUUACUGGACUGUAACUGACGUUGAGGCUCGAAAGCGUGGGGAGCAAACAGGAUUAGAUACCUGAGUAGUC
rnacentral:rRNA from 1 species